GAGUUUGAUCCUGGCUCAGGAUGAACGCUAGCGGCAGGCUUAACACAUGCAAGUCGAACGGUAACAGAAAAAGCUUGCUUUUUGCUGACGAGUGGCGAACGGGUGCGUAACGCGUAUGCAACCUACCUUCUUCUAAGGAAUAGCCCAGAGAAAUUUGGAUUAAUACCUUAUGAUAAUAUUUAUYCGCAUGUUUAAAUAUUUAAAACUCCGGUGGAAGAAGAUGGGCAUGCGUAACAUUAGUUUGUUGGUGAGGUAAUGGCUCACCAAGACUACGAUGUUUAGGGGGUCUGAGAGGAUGAUCCCCCACACUGGUACUGAGACACGGACCAGACUCCUACGGGAGGCAGCAGUGAGGAAUAUUGGUCAAUGGACGAAAGUCUGAACCAGCCAUGCCGCGUGAAGGAUGACGGCCCUACGGGUUGUAAACUUCUUUUGUAUAGGAAGAAACCCCUCUACGUGUAGAGGGUUGACGGUACUAUUCGAAUAAGCACCGGCUAACUCCGUGCCAGCAGCCGCGGUAAUACGGAGGGUGCGAGCGUUAUCCGGAAUUAUUGGGUUUAAAGGGUGCGUAGGCGGAAAUUUAAGUCAGUGGUGAAAGCCUGCAGCUUAACUGUAGAAUUGCCAUUGAUACUGGAUUUCUUGAAUCUAAUAGAMGUAGGCGGAAUAUGACAUGUAGCGGUGAAAUGCUUAGAUAUGUCAUAGAACACCGAUAGCGAAGGCAGCUUACUAUGUUAGUAUUGACGCUAAUGCACGAAAGCGUGGGGAGCGAACAGGAUUAGAUACCCUGGUAGUCCACGCCGUAAACGAUGAUUACUCGCUAUUGGCGAUACACUGUCAGUGGCUAAGCGAAAGUGAUAAGUAAUCCACCUGGGGAGUACGAUCGCAAGGUUGAAACUCAAAGGAAUUGACGGGGGGCCGC
rnacentral:rRNA from 1 species